rnacentral:tRNA from 1 species
GCCACCUUAGCACAGCGGUAGUGCACCGCUUUCGUAAAGCGGGGGUCGUCGGUUCAAAUCCGACAGGUGGCUC